GACGAACGCUGGCUGCGUGCGUAACACAUGCCAGUCGCACGUAAAUGCCCUUCUUAUUUGUGUUGCUCGAGUGGCGAAUCGGUGUGUUACCCGUGAUUAUCUUGCCCUUCUCUUUGCGAUUACUUCGCGAACCUCGGGCUCCUACGGGAUUGGGACUCCUGCUGCAUUGUGGGUGUUUCAAUGUUUCGUAGGUUGGGGAUUGGCUUGCGGUGUAUCAGUCUGUUGUUGGGGCAGUGGCUUACCACGGCUGUGACGGGUAGCCGGCCUGAGAGGGUGACCGGCCACAUGGGGAAUGAGAUACGGCCCAGACGCCUACGGGAGGCAGCAGUGGGGAAGAGUGCACAAUGGGCGGAAGCCUGAUGCAGCAACGCCGCGUGCGGGAUGACGGCCUUCGGGUUGUAAACCGCUUUCGCCGGGGACGAAGCGUGAGUGACGGUAAUGGGUAAAGAAGCACAGGAUAACUACGGG
rnacentral:rRNA from 1 species